CAAUAGCGUAUAUUAAAGUUGUUGCAGUUAAAAGCUCGUAGUUGGAUUUCUGGCCGAGUGUCCCUAGGCCAGCAUGACGUUUGGUCCUAGGCGCUCUGCCAUCCUUCUGUCAACCUUCGCCUUCUUCAUUGGGCGGCUGGGCUCAGAUAUUUUGACCUUGAGAAAAUUAUGAGUGUUUCAGGCAGGCUUUCGCCGGAAUACAUUAGCAUGGAAUAAUAAUCUAGGACUUCGGUUCUAUUUUGUUGGUUUCUAGUACUGAAGUAAUGAUUGAUAGGGAUAGUUGGGGGUGGCUAGUAUUGACCGGCCCAGAGUGAAAUUCUUGGAUUCGGUCAAGACUAACU
rnacentral:rRNA from 1 species